rnacentral:tRNA from 1 species
GAAGCAGCAGCUCGGUGGUAGAGCUCCCUCUUCGUAUGCGGGAAUACCUGGGUUCCAUUCCCGGCUGCUUCC